GGGGAGACACCAAGCUGUCAAAUGGGAGGAGGCUCUUUGAAGUGUGGAGAUAAGGACCCUUCUAACCUUCAGUCAGGUAUGAAAGCCAUUUCCAGCGGCACAGGAGCGUGUCCUUCCACUGGACUCGUCGUGGAACAGCCCAGCUGAGUUCAUUCAGAUUCCUCAGAGGGGUUGGCACUGGCAGCUGGAUCAUUGUGGUGCCUUGAGAAAGGACUUCUGCACAGCAUUUCUCAUGUAAGCAGAAGCUCUUAGCACUGAAAAUCUUCCCAAAAAAGGAUUCCCCUGAGCUGGAAAACUGAGGUGGAGGCUUUCUCACUCCCCUCCAACUCUCCCUUUUCCCCUCCAUCUGGGUGCUAUGACUGGCAAAUGCCUUUGAGACCAUGGAAGGACAGAAAAUCAGUGUGGAAGAAGUGAGGUCUGGGAAAGAGAAGUCACAGCAGAUGCAAUUCCACCAAACAGCAGAGAAACAAAAGCAAAAGCCAGACAGUACUGACAAACAGAAAAGGAACGAGCAAGGAGCUGCCCCAGCAUGGUCUUGUAGUGAAGAAGGAGGGCAAGGAGAGCCUGAUGCUGAUUUUUCCAGUCCUGACUGUGCCACAGUUGCUUUCUGUCACCUGGAUAUGAGCACACCGUGACUGCCGCCUUGACAUUGUGCCGAGCUGACAUCCCGACCGGUCUGACACUGAUGCCUUUGGGCAGAAAUCAGAGCCGGUUUGCUCCACGGCUCCGUGCAGCCACGACGCCGGCAGCGCCUCCCAGAGCCCCCCGUGCCCCGCUGGGGAAAUGGAGCGAGCACGUGGGCCCCAGCUGAACUCCGGGCCGAGCGCAGGCGUUAUCCGCACUCAUCCUCCUGCCCCUUUUCAGCUUUAAGUGUUCACGUUCACAUGGGUUUCUUUAUUUUUAUUUUCCUCCCCUUUUCUCUCCCUUUUUCCCUGGCCCGUGAGAGGGUUGGUUUCCUGUUUCUCCCCCGGCUGCAGAGUCCUUGGGGAGCUGGGUUUCCGUGAGCUGGAAAAGGAGCGCACAAGCGUCUGAUCAGCCCUUAUUAGUGUUGAGAAAGAUCUAAUGGGUCCUGGCUUCUGGGACCAUUACCUGUCAUUUACUUUUAUUAAGUCAGUGAUGAGAAAGUUUAAAAUUAAAGGCUUUGUAAAUUGGAUUGCAGUUCUAAAGGAAGGCACCGAGCAGGAAGCCAGUGCCUGAGCUUGCAGAUGGACCACUGGGAACAGCACCAGGCCAGGGCGUUUCUCUUCAGCUGCUUUGACAAAGGUCCUGUGCCCAGAGCGUGGGGAGAACAAAGCCUCGAG
rnacentral:lncRNA from 13 species